GACAGAGGGGGCAAGCGUUGCUCGGAAUUACUGGGCGUAAAGGGCUCGUAGGCGGCCAACUAAGUCAGACGUGAAAUCCCUCGGCUUAACCGGGGAACUGCGUCUGAUACUGGAUGGCUUGAGUUUGGGAGAGGGAUGCGGAAUUCCAGGUGUAGCGGUGAAAUGCGUAGAUAUCUGGAGGAACACCGGUGGCGAAGGCGGCAUCCUGGACCAACACUGACGCUGAGGCGCGAAAGCGUGGGGAGCAAACAGG
rnacentral:rRNA from 1 species